GCUUGGGUAGUUGAUGGAGGUGGUGGCAACGGUGGGUUAAUAAAGUAGAAAUCUUGAACCAUCAAUGAUGAGGAGAAUGAAAAGAAGAGGAUGAGAAUUGGAUAAAAUAGAAACCAUGAGCCACUUUUGAACUUCAGAGACAGCCAUAGUUUAGUUAUAGAACACAGUUAAGUUAUCAUAUAGUAAUCACAAGGUAGAAUUGCUUAACAUCU
rnacentral:lncRNA from 1 species